rnacentral:rRNA from 1 species
GACGAACGCUGGCGGCGUGCUUAACACAUGCAAGUCGAACGAGGCCCUCCUUCGGGAGGUGUCCUAGUGGCGAACGGGUGAGUAACACGUGGGCAACCUGCCCCCGGCUCUGGGAUAACUCCAAGAAAUUGGGGCUAAUACCGGAUAUGACCGCUGACCGCAUGGUCUGGUGGCGGAAAGAUUUAUCGGCUGGGGAUGGGCCCGCGGCCUAUCAGCUUGUUGGUGGGGUAGUGGCCUACCAAGGCGACGACGGGGAGCCGGCCUGAGAGGGUGACCGGCCACACUGGGACGGGGACACGGCCCAGACUCCUACGGGAGGCAGCAGUGGGGAAUAUUGCGCAAUGGGCGGAAGCCUGACGCAGCGACGCCGCGUGGGGGAAGACGGCCUUCGGGUUGUAAACCUCUUUCAGCAGGGACGAAGCGCAAGUGACGGUACCUGCAGAAGAAGCACCGGCCAACUACGUGCCAGCCGCCGCAGUAACAC